CAAAAAAGUUCGUGCGGUUUUAGGCGGCGCUCACUAUAGAGACAUGUUAAGAACUUGUUGCGAUUCCUAGCGCCCAAUAUUUAGUGUCAAUAUAACAUGCACAGACUCGUCAGUAUAUUGAUGCGCUCUAGUUUGUUAACACGCUUUUCAUAAGUAAAUUAUUUUUGUCUAAAAUGUCAGUUAAUACUAAUGUGAUUCAGACUUGUUUGCUCUACGAAUUUAAACUCGGCACCAAGGCUGCAGAGGCAUCUCGUAAAUUAUGUACGGCAUUCGGUGAAGAUGCAGUAUCAGAACGUACUGCACAUAAGUGGUUUAAAAAGUUCUUGUCUGGUGACGAGUCGCUUGAAGAUUUACCUCGUUCGGGAAGACCCUCUGUUAUUGACAAUCAAGAAUUACGGGCUGCCAUUGAAAACAACACUUAGUUAACUUGCCAGGAACUUUCGCAAAUGUUUGGUGUUAGUAAUGAAACAAUUCGGUUGCACUUCAUUGUAAUCCAUUCCAUGUAAAUCAUGGAAGUUAAGUAAAUGGGUCCCUCAUGAAUUAUCAAACGAACACAGGUGUCAUCGAGUAUCAGUUUGUUCAGCAAUGCUUUCGCGCUAUAAAACUGAGCCGUUUUUGGAGUCUGCUUACAGCUGAUGAAAAAUGGAUUAUGUACAAUAAUACAAAACGAACCCACCAUUGGUUGUCCCCAAACCAACCAGUACCACAUAUAUCGAAGACCCCAAUUCAUUCCGGAAGAUCAUGCUAUGGUGGACUGCUGCGGGUAUAAUACAUUACGAGUUUCUUCCCGAGGGUCAAACUAUUACUGCUAAACUCUACUCGAUGCAGCUUGAGCAAGUACACAAAUCGUUACUUCAGAAGCAGCCUGGACUAGUUAACCGGAGUAAAGUAAUAUUUUUGCAAGAUAACGCUAGGCCACACGUUGCCAAGCUCACUCUGGAAAAAAUUAAUGAUUUAAAAUGGGAGUUACUACCCCACCCUCCGUAUUCUCCUGAUAUGUCUCCAACGGAUUUUCACCUUUUCUUGGCUUUAGAUAAUCAUAUGAUAGAUAAAAAAUUUCGAAAUCAAGUUGAGAUCGAAGAGGAGGUUGCCAAUUUUUUCGCUUCAAAAAAUAAAAGCUUUUACAAGGACGGGAUAUAUAAACUUGUAUCUCGUUGGGAAAGAAUUGUAGAAUGCGAGGGUGCUUAUAUAAAUGAAUAAAUUGUUUUAUAAAUA